UAGAGGUUGAGGCUAUGGCAAUGCGGGAAACGGAAUCUGAGGAGAAGGUUGAAGGAGCUGUGAUCGUCGAGAAGAUUGGAGAGGCUAUUACGACUCAGGAAGUGUCUAUUGGAGAUGCUAUCGCGAUGCGGGAAGUUGAGGAUGAGGGUAUGGCGAUGCAGGAAAUGAAAUCUGAGGAGAAGGCUGAGGGAGCAGCGAUCGUCGAGAAGAUUGGAGAGGCUAUUACAACUCAGGAAGUGUCUAUUGGAGAUGCUAUCGCGAUGCGGGAAGUUGAGGAUGAGGCUAUGGCGAUGCAGGAAAUGAAAUCUGAGGAGAAGGCUGAGGGAGCAGCGAUCGUCGAGAAGAUUGGAGAAGAAUUUGCCGCUGAAGUUAAUGGUGGCGGUGAGACAGCUUCGGAGAAAGGUGGUGAUUCAACUGUUCUUCCUUCAGAAAGCGUGGAAGCUCCAAAGGAUGCAGAUGAUUCUGCGAAUGAGACUGAUGUUGAUGAAGGUAUGUAUUAUGCAGCUUCGUUCUGACUGAACCGUUGGCAUCUGACUCUUCAUAGUAUGAAAAUGUGUACGUAAUUUUUUAUCAUAAAUUUGAAUGAACUAGGCAAAUAUGUUUCAGCAUCGAUUUGCUUCUCACACAGAAAGGGGAAAUAUGUUAUCUUGCAUUUUGGUGGCAUGUAGAAGAACUCAAUAUUGCUUAGGAAUUAUCUUGUCUCUCUUGUAAAAUUCUAUAAUUUCUCAGUGUGCUGGCCUGUAGCUUUGAGAGAAAAUAAAAUCACAUAAUUGGAAGGAUUAUCAGAUCCCACUUUCCUAAUCGAUGAGAAAAUAUCCACUGACACUGAAUACUGCUGUGCUUCACAUACCUACUAGUUAUUCUGUCUUGCUUCCAUUAAAGGCAUUUUUUUUAUUUCAUCUCUAAAAUCACCCACCACUUUUUCACCCUUAUGAUCAACCAUUUUUGCCGCAUCCACAGUUUCAACACAAACUGUAUCCAUUUGCCCAGUCUACCAUUGCAGCAUGAACUGUUUCUGACCAUUAGGUUGCUCUUUUGUUCUACGAACCUUUAGCUUGGGCCUCGGUUCAAUAGUUUUCGUAAAAGGUUAGUCCCAACACUGAUGGGAGGAUGAUGACGAAUCCUGACUUUUACCAGUUAGGCCUGGUUAUGCUUAAUUAGUAAGUUAAAGUAUCAUUGAGAGGAUCAUAACCAUGAAAAGUAAUAGACAAAUUCUUAGGGAUAUAGAAAAACCUAAAAAAGGAGUGACAGAACCCAUUAAUCUUAUGUGAAUCAAUGAUAUCAGCCUUCUAAUUGUUUGGAUUAUUUAAAAACUCAAAAGUUAACAUCAAAGAUGUCUCCAGAGAAGCACAAACAAAAUACCAGUCAUGAGAUGGAUAUGGUUGGACAUUCAAAAUGAGGUGUGUCAUUGGUUGGUGGUGUUUUGCAUUUGAAGUAAUAGAUUUAGCUUGAUGAUGGCUUCCUUCUAACCAGACUUUUGGCCUAGUUGAUGGAGAGGACCAAUGGACUUUUUUUUUUCACAGAGGCAUCUGUCUAGGUCAUUAUUGUCGGACAUUGGUAGAGUUGUAAAGUUAGGCGCUUUUGAUGGUUAAUUUAGUUGGAAUGAGGAAGUGGAAGUGGAUAUGCUCCAUAUCUCUGGGUCUUCAUUCUUUGGUUUUAGUAAAGGAUAGUGGAAAAGGAAUCACUGAGUACAGAAUGUGCAGAAUGAUGCCUAUUGGGAGUGAUCAAUUUGAUUGGACAGAAUGUGCUUCCACUUUAAUUAUAAAUUAUCAAUGGGAAUGGAUUUUGCGGUCUGAUUCAUUGUGGAGUCACUAAGAGGAAUGUGCAGCUAUCAUUUGACAUUUUCAACAUUACAUUUCUAUAGCUGUUUUUGAUGAAUUCUUCUCUUUCUCUUGUAUGCAAAUAAUUUAACAGAAAUAUGUAGUGUAAGAGAGAUUAAGUAACGUCAGUGUUGUGUGUCAUACAGUCAUGGAAGUGACAAACUUUGUAGAAUAAAUUUACUAUUUGAAUUAUCUUGUGAUCUCUUGAUUUGUAUUAAUAAAUAGAUAUUUAAGAGAAAUAUUAUGAGGUUUUAUGUGAACAUUUUCUUGAAAAAAUAUUGUUUACGUGGACCGAUGUUGGAUUAGCAUGUUCUUCCCUUAUACAGAUUUGUGUUCCUCUUCAAAACUGAUCCAGCUAAAAAAUGUACAAAAAAAAUCUUGUCUGUUUUCUGAUGCUGUAGGUCUAGAUGUUACUUAAAAUACAAUUAAAUUCAUUUUAUCAGGUACAGAACAAGAAGUCAAGAAUGAAGCUGAAGUCAGCGAUGGAAAUGAUGAUGAAGGUGUAG
rnacentral:lncRNA from 1 species